CCCUCCGUCCGAAAAUACUUGUCUUAUAAAUGAAUAAAAUGGAUGUAUCUAUAACUAAAAUAAGUCUAGAUACAUCCAUUUCUAGGACAAGCAUUUCCGGACGGAGGUAGUAGAAA
rnacentral:pre_miRNA from 1 species